rnacentral:rRNA from 1 species
GACGAACGCUGGCGGCGUGCCUAAUACAUGCAAGUAGAACGCACAGUUUAUACCGUAGCUUGCUACACCAUAGACUGUGAGUUGCGAACGGGUGAGUAACGCGUAGGUAACCUGCCUGGUAGCGGGGGAUAACUAUUGGAAACGAUAGCUAAUACCGCAUAAUAUUGAUUAUUGCAUGAUAAUUGAUUGAAAGAUGCUCUUUCAUCACUACCAGAUGGACCUGCGUUGUAUUAGCUAGUAGGUGAGGUAACGGCUCACCUAGGCGACGAUACAUAGCCGACCUGGGAGGGUGGACGGCCAACCUGGGACUGGGACCCGGCCCAGGCCCCUUCGGGAGGCAGCCGGAGGGGAUCCUCGGCAAUUGCCGGAAGGCUGAACGGGCAACGCCGCGGGAGGGGAGGAGGUUCUCGGGUCGUAAAGCUCUGUUGUAAGGGAAGAACGGGUGUGAGAGUGGAAAGUUCACACUGUGACGGUAUCUUAUCAGAAAGGGACGGCUAACUACGUG